rnacentral:rRNA from 1 species
UACAGAGGGUGCGAGCGUUAAUCGGAAUUACUGGGCGUAAAGGGUGCGUAGGUGGAUUGUUGAGUUAUAUGUGAAAGCCCCGGGCUUAACCUGGGAAUGGCAUAUGAUACUGUCAAUCUAGAGUAGGGUAGAGGAGAGUGGAAUUUCCGGUGUAGCGGUGAAAUGCGUAGAUAUCGGAAGGAACACCAGUGGCGAAGGCGACUCUCUGGACUCAUACUGACACUACAGCACGAAAGCGUGGGGAG